AACGAACGCUGGCGGCAUGCCUAACACAUGCAAGUCGAACGAGACCUUCGGGUCUAGUGGCGCACGGGUGCGUAACGCGUGGGAACCUGCCCUUCGGUUCGGUAUAACUCCCCGAAAGGGGUGCUAAUACCGGAUAAUGUCUUCGGACCAAAGAUUUAUCGCCUUUGGAUGGGCCCGCGUUGGAUUAGCUAGUUGGUAGGGUAAAAGCCUACCAAGGCGACGAUCCAUAGCUGGUCUGAGAGGAUGAUCAGCCACACUGGGACUGAGACACGGCCCAGACUCCUACGGGAGGCAGCAGUGGGGAAUAUUGGACAAUGGGCGAGAGCCUGAUCCAGCAAUGCCGCGUGAGUGAUGAAGGCCUUAGGGUUGUAAAGCUCUUUUACCCGGGAUGAUAAUGACAGUACCGGGAGAAUAAGCUCCGGCUAACUCCGUG
rnacentral:rRNA from 1 species